rnacentral:tRNA from 1 species
GCAUUGGUGGUCCAACGGCAGAAUUCUUGGCUUCCAUGCAAGAGACCUGGGCUUGUUUCUCAGCCAGUGCG